rnacentral:rRNA from 1 species
UCGGCGACCGGCGCACGGGUGAGUAACACGUAUGGAACCUGCCCGCAGCAGGGGGAUAAGCGGAAGAAAUUCCGUCUAAUACCGCGUAACAACGUUGGGAGGCAUCUCCCGAUGUUUAAAGAUUUAUCGGCUGCGGAUGGCCAUGCGGCGCAUUAGCUAGUCGGCGGGGUAACGGCCCACCGAGGCGACGAUGCGUAGGGGUUCUGAGAGGAAGGUCCCCCACACUGGUACUGAGACACGGACCAGACUCCUACGGAAGGCAGCAG